rnacentral:rRNA from 1 species
CUUGCUGCUUCGCUGACGAGUGGCGGACGGGUGAGUAAUGUCUGGGAAGCUGCCUGAUGGAGGGGGAUAACUACUGGAAACGGUAGCUAAUACCGCAUAAUGUCGGAAGACCAAAGAGGGGGACCUUCGGGCCUCUUGCCAUCGGAUGUGCCCAGAUGGGAUUAGCUUGUUGGUGGGGUAACGGCUCACCAAGGCGACGAUCCCUAGCUGGUCUGAGAGGAUGACCAGCCACACUGGAACUGAGACACGGUCCAGACUCCUACGGGAGGCAGCAGUGGGGAAUAUUGCACAAUGGGCGCAAGCCUGAUGCAGCCAUGCCGCGUGUAUGAAGAAGGCCUUCGGGUUGUAAAGUACUUUCAGCGGGGAGGAAGGGAGUAAAGUUAAUACCUUUGCUCAUUGACGUUACCCGCAGAAGAAGCACCGGCUAACUCCGUGCCAGCAGCCGCGGUAAUACGGAGGGUGCAAGCGUUAAUCGGAAUUACUGGGCGUAAAGCGCACGCAGGCGGUUUGUUAAGUCAGAUGUGAAAUCCCCGGGCUCAACCU